rnacentral:snoRNA from 1 species
UCGAAUGAUGAUCAUCCUGAUAGGGACAUCAGAUGCAAAGCACAUGAUGUGAACAGGUCAAGAGAUUUUAGUAGAUGCUUCUUGUUUAUCUGAAG